GGAAUUUAAAACUUAAAUAAAUUUCUCAGAUGUUCAGAAAAUCCAAUUCCCUUUAAAAUUUUUCAAACGUGUUUAUGGGAAAAAUGAUUUUUGAAAAUGUUUCUAAAAUAGAGUCACUUUAGGGGGCUUCUGAGUUGCCCCCAAAAUGUUCUUACUUGAUUUGACAGUGUCUGCUUAUAAGGAAAUCAAAUCCUAACUAGAAAUAGAAACUCAGGUGUCUUAGAUUUUUUAAUUGUUUUUGCUUGUUUCGUGUGCGUGUUCGUGCGACUUGUGAAUGUCAGUUCUCUCUUCCACUAUGUGGGCUCCAGGGGCUGAAUCCACCCUGUCAGGCUUGGUGGCGAACACAUUCACUCACUGAGUCAUCCAGCCAGCCCCAAAUGUGUGGAUCCUGGAAAUGAUGAUGGGGGCCACUGGAGCCUCACUACCUAGAGCAUGCUAAGUGGCUCAUAAACGUUUGCUGGAUACAUGAAUGGUGGGCAGGAAAGAACAAAUCAACGUCUUGUUGGUUGGCUAAAGAAAGAAAACAAUGGAAUAAGAAAACCAGAGAAUUCUUUAAUUCUACAUCAGCAGAUGAAGUUUUACACUUGUGUCAUCCGAAGGGAACCCAGAAGAGGAAGAAUAACUGACUCUGAAAUGGGCAUCUUGAGAUGAAGGCCUCAUCCUCCUCACUGCAUCCUAGAAGAAGGAUUGCUGUCCAGAUGUUCUUCAAUGGGACUGGAGAUUAAUGACUCAAUUUUUGGCACUUAAUUUCAAGACUAUUGAUGCUUCUGUAAUGUAUGAUCAAAGAUAUUUGAAUAAAGCAGUGUGGUGAAGUACACCCCGUUUACUCUUGUCCCUUGUCCCUCCCCCACAGUGAUCCCACAUCUGAAGGUAGGGAAGGAUACAUUGAGAUUCUCAUUUCAUUUGUCUUCUGAUGUAUUUCUUGGUGCUAGGUGAGAGUUAAUAAAUAAAUGGCCUACACAGAGGAGUCCCUGAUGCUAUCAUGACCAAAGAAGCUUGGUGAAUGCUUCUGUUGUCCAGCGUGAACUGUGCCUAUUUAG